GGUCAAUGCUUAAAUAUGUUCAAGGAGGAUCUCAAGGACAGGAUGAACCAUCCAGUAGUAGUGCCAUCCCUGGACAUCAACCACCAGCCAUUGUAGACCCUGCAACAAUCCCUAGCCAAGAAGAACAAGAACCAUCAACCACCAGUUCAGUUAUCGGAUGUGGAAAUGCAAGGACUGCAGCCUGUCAUUUUCAGGAAAAUCUGAGCUACUACAACAUUAUCGCCUUGAUCAUCGGUUUCAUGGCAGGCACCGUCCUUACCCAUGCAUUCAUGAAAAUUGCCCCUGUUCAUCCAGGACAUGGAACGGUCUACAAAAAC
ensembl:lncRNA